rnacentral:rRNA from 1 species
AUUGAACGCUGGCGGCAUGCCUUACACAUGCAAGUCGAACGGCAGCACGGGUGCAAUCCUGGUGGCGAGUGGCGAACGGGUGAGUAAUGUAUCGGAACGUGCCCAGUCGUGGGGGAUAACGCAGCGAAAGCUAUGCUAAUACCGCAUACGAUCUAUGGAUGAAAGCGGGGGACCGUAAGGCCUCGCGCGAUUGGAGCGGGCGAUAUCAGAUUAGGUAGUUGGUGGGGUAAAGGCCCACCAAGCCGACGAUCUGUAGCUGGUCUGAGAGGACGACCAGCCACACUGGAACUGAGACACGGUCCAGACUCCUACGGGAGGCAGCAGUGGGGAAUUUUGGACAAUGGGCGCAAGCCUGAUCCAGCAAUGCCGCGUGCAGGAUGAAGGCCUUCGGGUUGUAAACUGCUUUUGUACGGAACGAAACGCUCCUUUCUAAUACAAGGGGGUAAUGACGGUACCGUAAGAAUAAGCACCGGCUAACUACGUGCCAGCAGCCGCGGUAAAAC